rnacentral:piRNA from 1 species
AGUUUUAUUAUGAUGAUGAACUCGGA